rnacentral:rRNA from 1 species
GGCGAACGGUCGCGUAACACGUAGGCAACCUGCCCUGAAGUGGGGGACAACAGCCCGAAAGGGCUGCUAAUACCGCAUGAGAACAACGAGUCGCAUGGUUUGUUGUUCAAAGGCUUCGCAAGGAGUCGCUUUGGGAUGGGCUUGCGGCCUAUCAGGUAGUUGGUGGGGUAAUGGCUCACCAAGCCGACGACGGGUAGCUGGUCUGAGAGGACGAUCAGCCGGAUUGGGACUGAGAUACGGCCCAGACUCCUACGGGGGCAGCAAUUAGGAAUCUUGCGCAAUGGGCGAAAGCCUGACGCAGCGACGCCGCGUGCGGGAUGAAGGCCUUCGGGUCGUAAACCGCUUUUAACGGGGAAGAAGCAUGUGACGGUACCCGUUGAAUAAGCCCCGGCUAACUACGUGCCAGCAGCCGCGGUAAUACGUAGGGGGCGAGCGUUGUCCGAAGUUACUGGGCGUAAAGCGCGCGUAGGCGGUUGCCCAAGUCUGGGGUGAAAGGUUCAGGGCUUAACCCGAACAGUGCCUUGGAUACUGGGCGACUUGAGUGCCGAAGAGGAAAGCGGAAUUCCUGGUGUAGCGGUGAAAUGCGUAGAUAUCAGGAGGAACACCGAUGGCGAAGGCAGCUUUCUGGUCGGCAACUGACGCUGAGGUGCGAAAGCGUGGGGAGCGAACGGGAUUAGAUACCCCGGUAGUC